rnacentral:lncRNA from 1 species
GCCCUGGUUCCUUUCUAAAUACGAAGUUUUGUAUCUGACUAUUUCUGUAUGGGAUCAUGAGCAAAUGAUUCUCAUACUUCACUUGACAUUUUUCAAUCGAAAUUGUAUAAAUAAAAAAAAAAAAGUUGUGGUAUGAUUGACAAUGCGACAGUUCACCACAAGAAACCAAAACGACACGGAAAUGUACAAUUAUAGAUCACCACACGGCCUUCAACAAUGAGCAAAGCCCAUAUCGCAUAGUCAGCUAUAAAAGGCGCCAAAAUGACCAUGUAAAAAAAAUUAAACGAGAAAACUAACGGCAUUCAUAUAAAAAAAAAUGAACGAAAAACAAAAUGAAACACAUAAACAAACGACAACCACUGAACACAGGCUCCUAACUUGGGACAGGUACAUACAUACAUAAUGUGGCGGGGUGAAUUCCAUAGGGAAAAAGUUUUUAAAUUGAAAUUAGUAAAUAAGUGUCUAACGAAAACCUUUUUUUAACUCUCAGUUAUUUUUGUUGUGAUCCGAAUUGAUAUGAG